AAUUCCAGAUACUUGACACUGGCUGCAGCUGUGAUCUUGCUUCUGGUACUGAUGGCGGACACAGAGGCUGAAGCCAUCCGGCUAGAUGCAGAGGCGCGGGCAUCACUCAGCGGCAGCGGUGGCAACUCAAUGCCGUCGAUGCAGAAGCCGAUUGGGAACAAUGCCGUCAACGUGGUCAAGGGUUCUGCUGGCUCGACCAGUGAGACAAAGAGGAGCGUCCAAGUUGCUGCAGAUGAAGUUAGGGCGGUGGCGUAUAAGCUGCCGGAGUUUCAUGAGGACUACUACGGUCCAAGUGAUCACAGCCCUAGGCACCAUUGA
rnacentral:rRNA from 1 species